AAACAAUCUCAAGCAUCAUUUCAAUACAUUCAUAGAUGUCAACCUCUCCGAAAAACAAGAACUAUUCUAACCACGAUGUUAUGAUCACAUCCACAGAGAUAUUAGUCAUUAUUUUUCAGACCACCAACAUCCAAAUGUUGAAGCUUCUAUUUUCUGUGCUCUCCUCCCGAGGUCUCUGUUAUCCUUGGCUCAUGGUUUGAUGCCAAAGGCCGAGCCGCUGGCCUCUCUCAGCCUCCAGCGUGCCUUCCUCAGGAAGCUGCGUCAUGGCCGCCUUCUGCUGUGACGUGACAGACGUGUGACUCUUCCUCUCCCUGAGCGCGCCAGGCCGUUGGAGGUGAGGAACUGGCCUGAUUUCCAUACUGCUGGGUUCCAGGGAAGGGGAGGCCCCCAGAGAGGGAGACACCGCGCAUGGCCGGUCAGUGAAGGAGUCGGAAAGCACCGUUAUCGAUGAAGGGCGCCAUUUUAUAUGGGCGCCAUUCGAGGUGUCCUCAAACAAUUACAACGGUGACGUGCUGAUCAGCAUAAAAUCAUAAUGGUGAAAACGUUUGAAAUAUUGCCAAGAAUUGCCAAACUGUGACAGACACGCAAAGUGAGCAAAUGCUGUUGGAAAAUGGUACCCGUGAACUUGUUCAAGCAGCGUUGCCACAAACCUUCAACUUGUAACACAAACGAGCAAACGCAUUAUUUGUGAAGCGCAAUAAAACGAGUGUGCCUUAA